GAACUAAAGAGUUUGAUCCUGGCUCAGAUUGAACGCUGGCGGCAUGCUUUACACAUGCAAGUCGAACGGCAGCAUGGGCUUCGGCCUGAUGGCGAGUGGCGAACGGGUGAGUAAUACAUCGGAACAUGCCUCGUUGUGGGGGACAACUACUCGAAAGAGUAGCUAAUACCGCAUAAGAUCUACGGAUGAAAGCAGGGGACCUUCGGGCCUUGCGCAAUGAGAGUGGCCGAUGGCAGAUUAGGUAGUUGGUGAGGUAAAGGCUCACCAAGCCUGCGAUCUGUAGCUGGUCUGAGAGGACGACCAGCCACACUGGGACUGAGACACGGCCCAGACUCCUACGGGAGGCAGCAGUGGGGAAUUUUGGACAAUGGGCGCAAGCCUGAUCCAGCAAUGCCGCGUGCAGGACGAAGGCCUUCGGGUUNGAUCUGUAGCUGGUCUGAGAGGACGACCAGCCACACUGGGACUGAGACACGGCCCAGACUCCUACGGGAGGCAGCAGUGGGGAAUUUUGGACAAUGGGCGCAAGCCUGAUCCAGCAAUGCCGCGUGCAGGACGAAGGCCUUCGGGUUGUAAACUGCUUUUGUACAGAACGAAAAGCUUUGGGUUAAUACCCUGGAGCCAUGACGGUACUGUAAGAAUAAGCACCGGCUAACUACGUGCCAGCAGCCGCGGUAAUACGUAGGGUGCAAGCGUUAAUCGGAAUUACUGGGCGUAAAGCGUGCGCAGGCGGCUAUGCAAGACUGAUGUGAAAUCCCCGGGCUCAACCUGGGAACUGCAUUAGUGACUGCAUAGCUGGAGUGCGGCAGAGGGGGAUGGAAUUCCGCGUGUAGCAGUGAAAUGCGUAGAUAUGCGGAGGAACACCGAUGGCGAAGGCAAUCCCCUGGGCCUGCACUGACGCUCAUGCACGAAAGCGUGGGGAGCAAACAGGAUUAGAUACCCUGGUAGUCCACGCCCUAAACGAUGUCAACUGGUUGUUGGGAAUUUAUUUUCUCAGUAACGAAGCUAACGCGUGAAGUUGACCGCCUGGGGAGUACGGUCGCAAGACUAAAACUCAAAGGAAUUGACGGGGACCCGCACAAGCGGUGGAUGAUGUGGUUUAAUUCGAUGCAACGCGAAAAACCUUACCCACCUUUGACAUGUACGGAAGUUGCCAGAGAUGGCUUCGUGCUCGAAAGAGAGCCGUAACACAGGUGCUGCAUGGCUGUCGUCAGCUCGUGUCGUGAGAUGUUGGGUUAAGUCCCGCAACGAGCGCAACCCUUGUCAUUAGUUGCCAUCAUUAAGUUGGGCACUCUAAUGAGACUGCCGGUGAUAAACCGGAGGAAGGUGGGGAUGACGUCAAGUCCUCAUGGCCCUUAUAGGUGGGGCUACACACGUCAUACAAUGGCUGGUACAAAGGGUUGCCAACCCGCGAGGGGGAGCUAAUCCCAUAAAGCCAGUCGUAGUCCGGAUCGCAGUCUGCAACUCGACUGCGUGAAGUCGGAAUCGCUAGUAAUCGUGGAUCAGAAUGUCACGGUGAAUACGUUCCCGGGUCUUGUACACACCGCCCGUCACACCAUGGGAGCGGGUUCUGCCAGAAGUAGGUAGCUUAACCGUAAGGAGGGCGCUUACCACGGCAGGGCUCGUGACUGGGGUGAAGUCGUAACAAGGUAGCCGUACCGGAAGGUGCGGCUGGAUCACCUCCUUUCUG
rnacentral:rRNA from 1 species